AAGAGCAUAUAGUGAUAUAUGCUUGUUUAGCAGAAGUCAGCAGAGGCCAUAGUACCUGAAUACAGAGGGAAGGGC
rnacentral:ncRNA from 1 species